AGAGUUUGAUCCUGGCUCAGGACGAACGCUGGCGGCGUGCCUAAUACAUGCAAGUCGAACGAACUCUGGUAUUGAUUGGUGCUUGCAUCAUGAUUUACAUUUGAGUGAGUGGCGAACUGGUGAGUAACACGUGGGAAACCUGCCCAGAAGCGGGGGAUAACACCUGGAAACAGAUGCUAAUACCGCAUAACAACUUGGACCGCAUGGUCCGAGUUUGAAAGAUGGCUCGGCUAUCACUUUUGGAUGGUCCCGCGGCGUAUUAGCUAGAUGGUGAGGUAACGGCUCACCAGGCAAUGAUACGGCCUUCUCAUCCCAAUG
rnacentral:rRNA from 1 species